AUGCACUGGCUUCGCUGAUUCCUCCUUUCUGAAGAACUGUAAUGCCAUUAAUUUGGUGUUGCAGGGAAACAGGACUGUUACUUUGAAAAAAUUAGAGUGUUUAAAGCAGGCUAACGCUUGAAUACAUUAGCAUGGAAUAAUGAAAUAGGACGUUUGAUCCUAUUUUGUUGGUUUCUAGGAUUGACGUAAUGAUUAAUAGGGAUAGUUGGGGGCAUUAGUAUUCAAUUGUCAGAGGUGAAAUUCUUGGAUUUAUUGAAGACUGACUACUGCGAAAGCAUUUGCCAAGGAUGUUUUCAUUAAUCAAGAACGAAAGUUAGGGGAUCGAAGACGAUCAGAUACCGUCGUAGUCUUAACCAUAAACUAUGCCGACUAGGGAUCGGAUGAUGUUAAUUCUUUAAUGACUCAUUCGGCGCCUUACG
rnacentral:rRNA from 1 species